UCGCCGCCAUCGCUCCGGUCCGGCGCCGUGGAUGCCGGCGACCUGCACCCCCCCCGUCGGAGGCGUGGUCUCGUAUCGACCAGCAGGCAUGGCAGAAAUCCCCACGGGUUUUGGGAGACGGUCAGGAUGGGAGCAUUGGAAAAGGGGGAUUGGGACCUCUUAGAGAAGCCAGGGAAACGAAAAGACGAGCGCUGCGGGGUACAGCGCGCAGAUACAAGCAGUACCCCAGAAUCUGGCAGUGACACAGGUUUCCUCAGGCAGCAUGCAGCCAGCACCCGUGGCUCAGCCGGCGUGGAUGUAUACACCUCAGACACAGUCAUCUUAGACUCUGACAGGGUACACAAGGUUCCUCUGAAUGCCACUGGGCCUCUGGGCCAGGGGCUGAGUGCACUACUCAUAGGAAGGUCUAGUGCCACUCUUCAGGGAAUCUUUGUUCACCCUGGAGUCAUUGAUGCUGAUUUCACAGGUCAAAUAUAUGCCAUGGUUUCUACGCCUUCUCCCCCUGUCACUAUUCCGGCAGGAACUCGAAUUGCUCAACUUGUGCCUUUUCAUUCAUCUGUUCUCAGGGCAGAUCAACAAGAUCGCAAAGACGGUGGUUUCGGAUCCACAGGACCGCCACAAGUCUUUUGGACAAUGAAUAUCUCCGACCAGCGCCCACAGAUGAUGUGCACUUUGACCCUCUCAGGUGCCACCCCAUCUCAGGUUCAACUCAGAGGUUUGAUUGAUACCGGGGCAGAUGUAACGGUGAUUUCUCUUUCUGCCUGGCCUCCCACAUGGCCCCUGGCCCCUCUUGGCCAAGCCAUUGCAGGCUUGGGAGGCACAGCACAGACUUUUAUUAGUCAAAGGCCUGUGUUGAUCAGAAAUAUGGAAGGGCAGACGGCUACAGUCCGACCCUACAUCACUGCAGCCCCUAUCAACCUCUGGGGACGGGAUGUGUUGGCAGCCUGGGGUGUGCGCAUGGAAGCAAAUUUUUAAUAGGGGUCACUGAAGCGAAGGGCAAAAGUUAUCCAAUGAUGCCUUUACGGUGGUUGACGAAUACCCCUGUUUGGCAAAACCAGUGGCCCCUGCCAAAAGAGAAGUUGAUAGCCCUUCGUGAAUUAGUGCAAGAACAGUUACAACAGGGACACAUAGAACCCUCUACUAGUCCCUGGAAUUCCCCAGUUUUCGUAAUAAAGAAAAAAUCAGGUAAAUGGAGGUUGUUACAGGACCUCAGAAAAAUUAAUGCAGUUAUGGAAAGCAUGGGGGCUUUACAGCCUGGUAUGCCUUCACCCACCAUGCUCCCCGCUGGAUGGGAAAUUUUGGUCAUUGAUUUGAAGGACUGUUUUUUUACAAUCCCCUUGUGCCCUGUGGACAGACCAAAAUUCAUGUUUUUACAGUGCCUGCAAAUUCUGUGAUGGGACAGAGAUAUCAAUUGAAAGUUUUGCCAAUUAGCCUGACACACUGCAGCAGGCUGCAGCAAGCUUUUUACUUACCAGGUAUACCGAGUGGAUCCUUCCAUUGAUUCCUCUGUGUUUAUCAGCACUCCGGAUUUACAUCCUACAGGUAUCAUUGGCCAGUUACCUGGGAGGAUGAGUCUGGUUUGCAAAUGCUGGAAGGCCAUGAGACAGGUUCUGCUCAGAUAAUUGAGUUGAAAGCAGUCACAAUGGCAUUCUAACAAUUUUCUCAGGUACUUUUGAAUUUGGUCAAAAAGUUUUUAUAUAAACAGAAAAGGGGAGUGGCUGGUGAAGAACCACACAGCCGAUUGGGAAAAGUUUUGUAUACCUUCAAUCACCUUACUGUGCCACAAGAUUCUAAUAAUCUUGUUUUUGUGAGUUAUUUCACUUUCUUACAGGCUGCAGAUGAUACAUGCCUGCCUCAUCGUUUGGGGAAGUGGGUAUGCUUGCAUCUCAACAGAUACUGGGAUGCACUGCCUGCCUGCAAGGUGUGUCCGCCCUGACCUGUGACAUCAGGGACAGAAUGCAGCCGAGGCACAGUCUUCAAAUGCUGAACAAUAUGCCGAUCACCAGCCAGACGAUCCCUCUGCAAGCAGAGGAUGAGCAUUCAUCUGUUUCUUUGGAAAUGUUUUAGCUUUGGGACAUUGUUAAAUAAGCUCUUUUGGAAUAUAUUAAGAAAUUAUAAGUUUGGAAAAUGGUGAUGGGUUUUGCUAUCAAUGUUAGCACUGAGUUUUUCAAAAAGCACCAGGUGUGAGGAUUUCCCUGAGUGCUUCAGGCAUCCACAGAUCUCCAGAGUGGUGUUUGUUCUCCUCCACGUAGGGCCCCCGUGGAGGACUACAAGCACUUCUUUUCUUUUCUU